GGGCCUAUAGCUCAGUUGGUUAGAGCACUGUGCUGAUAACGCAGGGGUCACUGGUUCGAAUCCAGUUGGGCCCACCA
rnacentral:tRNA from 1 species